rnacentral:rRNA from 1 species
GUUUGAUCCUGGCUCAGGAUGAACGCUGGCGGCGUGUCUAAGGCAUGCAAGUUGAAUGCUAGUUUACUAGCAUGGCAAACGGGAGAGUAACACAUUGGUAAUCUGACCCGAAGACGAGGAUAAUCUUGCGAAAGCGAGAAUAAUACUCGAUGGUAGUGAGGAGACUCAAGUUUCUUUACUUAAAUGUUUUUUCGCUUCGGGAGGAGCCUAUGGCCUAUCAGCUAGUUGGUAAGGUAAAAGCUUACCAAGGCUAUGACGGGUAGCGGGUGUGUGAGCAUUACCCGCCUCACUGGGACUGAGAUACUGCCCAGACUCCUACGGGAGGCUGCAGUCAAGAAUAUUCCCCAAUGGCCGAAAGGCUGAGGGAGCGACGCCGCGUGUAUGAAGACGCUUUUCGGAGUGUAAAGUACUUUUAACUGGGACGAAAUCAUGACUUUACCAGUUGAAUAAGGGGCUGCUAACCUCGUGCCAGCAGCAGCGGUAAUACGAGGGCCCCAAGCGUUAUCCGGAUUUAUUGGGCGUAAAGGGUUCGUAGGCGGUUUGUUGCAUCUCCAGUUAAAUCUAUCAGCUCAACUGAUAGGCCGCUGGAGAGAUGAGCAAACUAGAGACCGGAAGAGGCAAGCGGAAUUGUUGGUGUAGGGGUUAAAUCCGUUAAUAUCAACAAGAACACCAAAAGCGAAGGCAGCUUGCUAGAACGGUUCUGACGCUGAAGAACGAAAGCGUGGGGAGCAAAUGGGAUUAGAUACCCCAGUAGUCCACGCUGUAAACGAUGAGUGCUAAGUAUUGGAAGUUUCGACCCUUUCAGUGCUGCUAUUUUUAGUUAACACGUUAAGCACUCCGCCUGGGGAGUACGAGCGCAAGCUUAAAACUCAAAGGAAUAGGCGGGGACCCGCACAAGCGGUGGAGCAUGUGGUUUAAUUCGACAAUAAGCGAGAAACCUCACCAAGGUUUGCGAUGUAGCUGCACGCUCUAGAAAUAGAGAAGCCUUCGAGGGUGCUACACAGAUGCUGCAUGGUUGUCGUCAGCUCGUGUCGUGAGAUGUACCGUUAAGUCGGAAAACGAGCGCAACCCCUAUCCUAUGUUUUAUAUGUCAUAGGAAACUGCCCGUUUUAAAUGGGAGGAAGGCGGGGAUGACGUCAAAUCAGCAUGGUUCUUACAUCUUGGGCAACACACGUGCUACAAUGGGGAAUACAGAGGGACGCCAAACCGCAAGGUGGAGCAAAUCCUAAAAAUUCCCCCAAGUUCGGAUUGAGGUCUGCAAUUCGACCUCAUGAAGUCGGAAUCGCUAGUAAUCGUGGAUCAUAACGCCACGGUGAAUACGUUCUCGGGUCUUGUACUCACCGCCCGUCACGCCAAGGGAGCUGGUGAUGCCCGAAGGUCCACGUAUGUGGGACGAAGGUAGGACUGGUGACAAGGGUGAAGUCGUAACAAGGCA